rnacentral:rRNA from 1 species
GACGAACGCUGGCGGCGUGCUUAACACAUGCAAGUCGAACGGAAAGGCCCUGCUUUUGUGGGGUGCUCGAGUGGCGAACGGGUGAGUAACACGUGAGUAACCUGCCCUUGACUUUGGGAUAACUUCAGGAAACUGGGGCUAAUACCGGAUAGGAGCUCCUGCUGCAUGGUGGGGGUUGGAAAGUUUCGGCGGUUGGGGAUGGACUCGCGGCUUAUCAGCUUGUUGGUGGGGUAGUGGCUUACCAAGGCUUUGACGGGUAGCCGGCCUGAGAGGGUGACCGGCCACAAUGGGACUGAGAUACGGCCCAGACUCCUACGGGAGGCAGCAGUGGGGAAUAUUGCACAAUGGGCGGAAGCCUGAGGAAGCAACGCCGCGUGCGGGAUGACGGCCUUCGGGUUGUAAACCGCUUUCGCCUGUGACGAAGCGUGAGUGACGGUAAUGGGUAAAGAAGCACCGGCUAACUACGUG